UGCAAGUGUCAUCAUACGUUGGAAGG
rnacentral:piRNA from 1 species